CAUUUGCAAGCAUAGCUGCACAUGUUCUGGUUUAAUUGGGAAAUCUCUCCUUUGACUUUCAGGAUAGCACAGAAGCAGAGACUUUAAGUCUAAACAGACCUAGAUUCAGAGCCGACCCGAUGCUGCUUGAAGAAGGCUGGAGGUUAUUCAUGUUAGGCUCCUGAAAACACCACAAGGACCUACCCUCCGGGAGCCAGCCAGAGAACCCUUCUUCCUGCACUGUCUCCGUUAUGCCCAACAUUUCUGGGCAUAAGUUUUAAUAAACCUUACCUGGGAAAAGUUUGUUUGGCCUCGUGUUAAUUGCUAUUAUAUGGAGAGCCAAGAAUCUCGAACCAGUAAGAGUUGUGAAGUCACCCUCAAUAUUUCCCAAGUCUUCAAAGGAAUUGAGACACUAUAAUCAUUACCCAGGACUCCACGCUUGUCAAAUUUGUUGAUGACCUCCUACUUUGCAACCAAACUGAAUAGAAUGCUUGUAUAGACUCCCUAAUCCUUCUGAAGGUACUGACUGAGCAAGGCUACAAAGCCUCCAAAUCUAAAUGU
rnacentral:lncRNA from 1 species